UUUAAAUUUUAUAUGUAUUUAGCUUAUAAUAAACUAAGUGGUGUGUCCAGUGGCCCUUAUCGUUUCAUCCGUAGCUUUGGUCUAUAGAAGUUUAGCAUUGUGAGUUAUCAUAUCUUACGUCUUAUUGGCAUAUUUUUGGUAAUUUUUGGAUGGUUUAUGGGCGGAAUAACUAAAAAGGAGUAAAAGAAACUACAGAACACAUAUUACUAGCAUUAGGAACAAUAUUUAAAUGAUUUAUUGUGAAUCAAAUUGAUCUCUUGGCUAUUGGUACACUUUUGAUAUUGCAAAUGGAACUUUCUCCGAUUCAAGAAUCAAGUCACAUGUGCAGUUGUUCCACUUCUAAUAUUGAUUUUUUCUUUGUGGUAUAGCAUUUGUUAGUCUUAGCCAUUUCAUGCUUUUAAUCACUUUUGAUGUCAUUACUUAAUCAAAUCGGAAAGCCCUUGAUUUCUCCUUAAUGAACUAUGACACUUAUGAUUGAUGUGAAAAAAGUUUUAUAAUUGCAUAAUUUGCUAUAUCUAUUGGAGAUCUUACAAGACUGAAAAAUAUCUAACACUUUUGGUGGUACAUGGGCAGAACAUCUAAAGAGGAGUAAAAAUUUUUGCAUCAUCAUUUUAACAUUUUUGUUCUAUAAUAUAUUUGUUACUAAAGUGAUAAUUUCUUACAUGAUUGUAGCCAUAAUUUUUCUUACAUAAUUUCUUAAAUUCAAAGAAAAUAUAUAGAGAUAGUGAUCAAUAGUAAAUUGCUUUAUAUUAUGACAGUUUCUUUAUAGAUACUAGAAAUAGAUGAUGUAAUAGUGGUGCAUACUAGAGGUUGCCAUAGCAAGAGCUGUUUUACAUAGUAUAUAUAUCUAGGGAUAGUUGUUUAUAUAGGGUGCAUAAAUUUUUCAAACUGAACCCACUAGAACUUGAUUUCAUAAGAACACUUAUAUUCUCUAGCUAAUUGAAAUGGUACAAGGUAACACAAUAGUUUCUUUUAAUGUGGAUUAGGAAUUUGAAUUUUAACAACUAUAUAUAAGCUUACCAAUACAAUGAUAAAUAAACACUUCAGGUUUAUUCCAAUGCACCGGAUGGGAAUGAAUCCUUGGCUUUGGACAUGGGAAGCAUGGGGAAGAUACUGGAUGGUUUAUGGAAAUGGUGGGUGCAAUUCUUACAGAUAUCCUGAGUUGAUUCCACUUUGCUAUAAAGUGCCAACUCAUGGGAAGCAAAAGGUGAUGAUUUGGAAAGUUGACAGGAGGAACGGGCUGCGGUAGCAGAUUCAUGCCAGAUUGACUGUGGCCACAGCAAGGGUCAAGGACUUAGAAGGUUUCAUUAAUUGUUGAUAUUUGUCUUUUUAACUGUUAUGAAUGUUUAAAGUAUGUGUUGAGAUAGUUAUAUUUAGAGCAUGAGUGCUCAAAUUCAAUUUGGAACACUUAUGUGGCAUUAAAUAAACAUUUGUGUAUGUCUUUUUAACAUUAGUUGUAUUUGUUGUUUGAAAA